rnacentral:lncRNA from 1 species
GCUGGCCAGCAUGCUCGGCCGUGAGGGUGGCGUGCCGCUGGUAGAGUUUCUGUCGCGGCACAGAUCUCAUAUGCGUCAGAUCUGGAGGUACGAGAUCCCGCCUCCUUGCUGCCUCUCUAGCUCUGUAUGCCGUGGACUGCAAUUCGCUCGUUGGCUUAGGUGUUGGUGAGCAUGGCGGAGUAGCUUGGGGCCCGGGGGAAACCCUGGCCGACUUGGCUGGCCCGGCGGGGUGACGCCCAAGGGCGCUACCAAGUAUCCCAACUCUCCACCCUGACCUCCUGCCAGGGUGAAAACCCACAAUCCCCUGUGGAUUUGGCGGUGGCGGCGCCUUGCGCGUCGUGACCUUCUUGAAGUCGUCGUCAUGGGUGUAGGGGCUCGGAUGGGAGGAUGUGCAGGCGCGGGAUUGAGGUUGCUUGUGUCUCGAGCUUGUGUGGAUGCGGUGUGGGCUGUAGGCACCGUCGUCUCUUCUGGUUGGUGCUCUCCGGUGGUGGUGGACGCCUCUCGGCCCCAACCAUGCGGCAUCUCGAUCCUGACGGUAGGGGAUAUGGUUCCCCUUCCCGGCGGCUGUGGCUUCAUGUAAACCGAAGAGAUCUGGGUCAUCUCAACGGUGGUGCUUUGCUGCCUUGCCUCUCGCAUUUUUGCUCGGUUCCCUGCUGCCUCCUCUUUGGCGUCCGACUCCAUGAAGCUUUCCUUCUCCAACUAGUUGGGCGCGGUCAGGGCCGUCUCCAGAAAUUUGGGGGCCCGGGACAAAAAUCAAAAUAGGGCCCUAAUUUUUUUUAAACCAUAUAGUUGAAGAACUAAUGUAAGUAAAGCAUACUCUCCUUAAUUAUUUAACUUAAAAUAUGUCUGCUUUGGUACAAUAUUUAGGAAAUAUAUCAAAUACUCAUGGUAAAAUAGUAAACAUGGUGCUAAAGCAGUAAACUUCUAAACUGACCUCAUUUUCUACCAAAAAGCAACAUUCUUCUAGUAUUUCUUGAAAUGAAAUCUUCGAUCAAAUCUUCAUAAUUAAUCUUCUCCAAGAUAUCAUUUUCAAGUCCUAUAGUUGCCAAUCCAUUGAGUCUUUCUUGUGACAUAGUAGAACGCAAGUAGGAUUUCAACAACUUGAGUUUAGAAAAGCUCCUUUCUGCGGAUGCAACCGUCACAGGAAUGGUUAACAAAAUUCUGUAUGCAAUAACAGCAUUAGGAUAGAUUAAGGAGCGCUUCUUCAAAAAAUUCAGAAUAUCAAGUGGGCCCAUAGAUUUCUGAAGUGAGUCUUGGAGAAAAAGUAGCUCGCAACACAACUCAAGUCCAUCAAUAUCUUUAUUUUCUCCACUCUUAAGUGCACCUUCAAGAUUAACACAAGCAGCCAACAAACUCUUAUCAUCCAAGGAUCGCAGCCUAUUUGAAGUAAACAAGAAACCAAAUAUUUUUUCAUACCCUUCAUACUGUUGAAAUCUCGUGUUAAGUGAAACUAUAGCUUGAUCAACAACAUGCAGAAAAUAAUUGACCCUAAAUGACUCCUCUGCCGAUUGUGAAACAAUAGAUGGAUCAUCUGCACCCUCACCAAAUUGCCUUUUCCUCUUGAUUUGACGCUUGGUGCGGAACUCUGGAUCAAUAUCCAUCUCCAUUGCAAUUAUUUUUGCAUCUUCCAAUGCUUUUGAAAAGCCAGAUUCUCUGUACUUGGUGAAGAAGGAAAUCAAGCCCUUUACAGACUCAAUUGCGAUAUCAAUAAGCAUAUCCUUUGACUGCAACUCUUUGCUGAUGAAAUUAAUAGCUGAUAAUAUUUCAUACCAUAUGAUUAUUGACACUAAGAAUUCAAAGCCACAAAGAUCAUUUUCUGCCAAUGAUUGAGCUUCACUACUUGUCGAUGGAUCUUUAUCAUUUUCAGCCACUUGUAGUAAAGCCUCCCUUAUUUCUGGUAGUUGAAUCCUUAUAGCCUUAACACUAUCAACACGACUCUCCCAACGAGUAGCUGACAAUGACUUGAGUGUUACUCCUGUUAUAUUAUUUUUGAGAAUUUGCCAUCUUUUAGUAGAAUUAGCAAAUGUUGUGUAGAUGCGUUGAAUAAUGCCAAAAAAAUCAGAUGCUUUACGACAAGACUUUGCCAUAUCACAUAAUGUCAAAUUUAGACUAUGGCAACCACAAGCCGAAUAAAAAGCUCUCCGGUUUAUUUCCAAAACUUUACUUUUUACCCCUUGAUGUCUUCCUUUCAUAUUUGACCCAUUAUCAUAUCCCUGCCCUCUCAGAUUAUCAAUAUCAAGGUCAAGACUUUUCAAUUCAUUUUUUAGAACAUCAAACAAUCCUUGCCCGGUGGUAUCAUUCACAUCCAAAAAACCUAAGAAUGAUUCCUCAAUGCAAAAAGAACCAGAAGAUGCAUCAACAUACCUAAUUAUCAAAGACAUCUGCUCUUGGUGGCUUGCAUCGGGAGUACAGUCAAGUAAAACAGAGAAGUACUUUGCUUCUUUUACCUUUCUAAUGAUUUCAGACCUGAUUGCAACAGCGAGCAAAUUUAUUAGUUCAUUCUGGAUGGAAGGACCAAGAUAAUGAUCACGGAUUUUAUCAUUUGUGAUGCGGUCAACAUGUUCUUUUAUAACUGGGUCAAAUUCAGCCAACAUUUGAACCAAUCCUAAGAAAUUCCCAUUGCUAUCUUGGUACACCUUGCUAUUACUGCCACGAAAUGCUAUAUUAUGUUCCGCAAGAAAUUUCACAAUCAAAAGAAUCCUGAGCAAAACUUUUCUCCAAUGCUCCCUUUCUUUUUCAAGUUCUUGCUGAGCAACUUUAUCAAUUGUUUGAUUCUUCUCCAACCUGAAUCGCAAGUCAUACCAAGUACUCAUAUUUGUGACAUGUUCUCUGCCAUUUUCAUGCUCUUUGAGUCUACUGAUAAGAUGAUGCCAGUCACUGAAGCCAUCAUUUGCUAAUUGGCCUCUAACAUGUCCCUUCCUAAAUAAUUUGCAGCAAAAAAUACUUUAUCAAGAUCUUUGCUGUACACAAGCCACUCUCUAUCACACUUUUCUCCAUUCGAGAGAACUCUAGUGUACGAUAAUGCAGAAAACCUUCUACCAAAUUUGUCUGUACGACCAUGCUCAAUAGACGGGUCUCUUUUAGGACCACUUUGCGCCAAAAUAUCAAUCAUUGUAGGAUCAAGUGCAUCCCAAGUUCUUGGAUCAAAUAUAUCCGGUUGAACAGAAUUAUUAAUGUUAUCAGCAACAUUACCUUCAGCAACAAUAUUAGCAUCAUCACCUUCAUCAACAUGAAUAGAAUCAUCACCUUCGACUACAGUGUUAGUAUCAUCAUGUUCAUCAGAUUCUGCAAUGUGAGCCUCAACCUCUACUGGAUCACCACCAUGUGCAUCAUCAAUAUUAGCAUCAGAAGUUUGGUUUUCAAAAUUGCUUUGAGGUUCUUUCACAACAAAUUUAUCGAGAGCGCCCUUUUGGGUCCGAGCAUCUUCUUCUAGCUUUUGUUUCUUCCUACGCUUCGAAGCACCAGAAUCAUACUUCCUCCCUGGAUGCAUGAAUAUUUUUGUUCAAUGAAACAAAAAGUAAUCUGAGUCAAUUCAAACUCUAGAAAUUGUAGCACUGUAUAGCUAAGAAAAUAGAUAAAGACUUCACCCAGAUGAAAUAUUAGAAAAUAUUGUUUAACAAAAAAUAGUUUACCGCCUAAUGCCUACGCUGGCAAAAUAAAAAUAGGGUUUUGUCUACAAGGAAUUACGCCGGCGAGGGAUGAAUGAUCCGCCGUGGGGCUUCGGUGGCCGGCGGCCGCGUACGAAAGGCUGAACUGACGUGUUUGCUCUGCCGCCGUUGCCUUGCUCUAUUGCCGUCACCCAGGCGCCCAGCCGCCAUCGCCCCUGUGUGCCUUCUCGUCGUUCACGAGCGCUGAUCGAUUAGGUCAUUGGGAUUAGAUCGGAUGCUAAAACUGCUAAGCGAUGGGGGUUAGAGAAACUACGGGCUGGAGGGCUGCACUGCAUGCGUACGUGUAUAUGGGCUGCCUGGCUGCCUGGGAAUGCUUUUUUAUUGGGCCUUAUAUAUAUAUGUAUACAUACGUAUUCCUGGACUGGGGCCCCCCAAAUUUUGGGGCCCUGUGCGGUCGGCCAAUUUGGCCUUGGCCAUCGACGGGCCUGGGCGCGGUCAGUGGCGAUGCUGCCGGCAUGGCUUAUCCCAAAUUGAGGUGGUCUCCCUAGGUCCACCAUGCGAUGUGAGGGCGGCAUCCUUCUAGUUCUCGGGUGAGUUUCUCUGAAUCUCGAUGGUAUAACACCUACGAGCCAUGGCGAGGGGGUUGGGUCCGUCUUCGGUGACAGAAAAGGAAGGUGCUGUUUUCCCUCCUUCCCUAGGUGCUCCUGGAGCAAUGUCCAUUUUUGACAGCCAGCUUUGUCAUGCCCUGCUGCUCCGUCCUUCAUUUGUAGGAUACUAGUGUGGAGUACUCUGCCUCUAGCAAGCUGUAAUCUUCAUUUUCCUUUCUUAAGUUAGCUUGUGUAGGCCAUGGUUUUGGUUUCUUCCCAGCGUUCCCCUUUGUAUCAGUUUGGUCAUCGUUCUCUGGGUUGUAUGAUGUAACUCCUGGCCGGUUGAUGGCUUUGUUAAUUCAAAGUCGGGCUCUUCACGAGCCUCCAUUCCGAAAAAAUACCGGUUCUUUGGGUCUAUCUUCAAGCAUUCCCCAGCUUCUUCUUCGACCAUGAUGGCACACGUCAGAGCAUCGCUCACAUCGAGAUCUAUACUUCCACACCUACCUCUCUAUUCAAUUUGUAGUAUCGAUGCUAGUUUCCCCAUAAGAUCAAUUUCUUGUUCUACUCCAUGGUCCAUCCCAAACCAUCGCUUCUAGUGAGAUAUAAAAUUUGAGUUCUACCUCUCGAUCCAUUUGGAAGACUGCUACUGGUGUUCACAUAAGAUCUACACUUCAUCCUACUUCAAGAUCCAUGUCAAAGCAUCGCUAAUGAGAGAUUUACUCUUGAUUCCGGAAGUCUUAUAGCUUUGUUUUUGGUGAGAUCUGUACUUUACUCUCCGCCAUGAUCUUCUGAAAGCAUCACUACUGUGAUAUCUAUACUUUGAGCGAUACCUUCCCCUCUUACUUGGGGAUCUAUGGAUCCUUAUUUAUGGUAAUUGUGCAUUAUUUUCCAUCUUGAGAUCCACUUCUAUGUUUUAUGUACUCGAAAUAUUGAUAGGUCAUACUGUAGUUCCUUACUUCUUUAUAUCUAGAUCUAUUAUGAUAUUUUUCUUAAAACGCUUAUCUCUAAUUUAUCUCUAUUGCAGAUAAAAUUUAUCCAGAGUUUUGGAGGUUUGUUCCAACUUGCUUUACUAUUUUUCCAAAAUCAUUCUUCUUUUAGUAUCUCAGGAUCUAUCUACGUUGAUACCCAUUUUCUCUUAUGAGUGCGAUAAUCCAGCUAGAAGCAUCGCUCAUAGAGAGAUCUUUACUUCGAGGCCUAUCUCGUUAUCUGCCUAGAGAAUUGAUAUUGGUACUUUGGUGAGAUCUAUUUUUAUGUUCUACUUCAUGAUCCUUCACCAACUACCUAUUAUAGCGAGAUGUAAAAUAGGAGAUUUUACAAUUAACCCAUUUGAAAGAUCGCUACUAGUGUUGAUGUAAGAUAUAUACUUAAUUCUACUUCCCGAUCCAUGUCAAAGCAUCAUUAGUGACAUCUUUAAUUUGAAACUGUGAAGUCUUAGAGCAUUGUUUCUAGUGAGAUAUGCACUUUUCCUUUGCAUGAUCUAUCUCAAAGCUUUGCCUCUAGUGAGAUUUGUACUUUCAACGGUACCUUCACUCUGCUUGAAGAUCUAUGUGUGGUCUUGAAGAUCCAUCAUGCAUUUUUUUACAUCUCAAGAUCCAUUCUUAUGUUCUGUGUCCUCAUAGAAAAAUUUCUAAACUAUACUAUGUAGUUCAUUACUUCCUUAUAUCUGAAUUUGUUAUCAUAUUUUUAGAAAAUUCUUAUCUAGUUUUUAUUGCUACUCUGGAUAAAAGUUUUGAAGUGUCUUGAAGUUUUCCACUCGCAUUACUUUUUUUGGGUCAAAAUCAUUACUCUUACAAUAACGAUUUCGAUGACAUACUUCUUUCAAUACCUCUAGAUAUAUCCCAUGUCCAUUCUUGUUAUCCUAUAAAAAAUCAUCUUCCUGAUCCACCACGAUUCAGUAGCUCACUUCUUUUAUGAUCUACCAUAUAAAACCCCUACAUGUUCCAUUCAAUUUGUCAAGGUCUCUUACAAUGAUCCAUCACAACUUUAUUUAAAACCCACUUUAAAAUCCACCUAGAUCUACUCAAGCUCUUAUAUAAGAUUUAUAUACAAGCCAUGUUUAUCUUGUCUUAUUUUAUCAAACUGUUUGUUCACGAUCUAUCAAGAGUAGUUGUCACAAUUUCUCUAUUUGGUCUACCAUAUUCGACUCAAACUUCUUCCACUAUCUACAAAUCAUGUUGACAAAUGAUUUUCUCUCAUUUUUGUAAAAGAAUUUUUCACGAUCCAACCGGAAUAGUUAUUGUCCUACGAUUCAUAUAUUUUAUAACAGUCUUAUUCAUCCUUAUAAAUCAUUGCAUAUUGUCUUCGUGUACGAUUGAGGCUAAAGUUUGUAUGAUCUCUUAUUCCUUUUUAGAUCCUAUUUUUUAUGUAAAAAAUAUUUUUGUUAUUUAUCUAGACACAUUGAAAGAAACUGAAACAUUUUUGCCCUCAGAGAGAGAGAGAGAGAGAGAGAGAGAGAGAGAGGGAGAGAGAGAGACAUUGGAGAAAAGCAAUGACAUGUUUUUUUUGUUUUAGGUGAUCACACAUCAUGUUGAAGAAGAAGAUAUAGUGCGGCUAACAUCAAAAGAAAUGGAACCUCAGAUAUGUUAGCUUUAUCUUUUUUUGUCACCAUUUUCCUUUGUUUAUUUAUUCAAUUACUUUUUAGUUGAGUUACACUUUUAUAAUCUCUAACAGAAAUAAAUGCGUAAAGGGGUGUUUAUCAUAUUUAGUUAUCUCACAUAAUCUAACAUGUUAGUUUUUUGAUUUGAUACAACGAAACCAUGGAUAUCCAAGUGAGACUUUGACUAGAAAAAAGAAACACCAUUUUACUAGGCUAGCUUGGCCACUUUGGAAAAGAUAAAAUUGUUCUACCAGACUGUAUUAGUAAUGAAUGUUUCACCCUAGCAGUGCAAUAAACCAUUAAAUUCUCAUGGAAAAAAUCUCAAAUGCAUUACGCACACGCACACAGGCACACGUGCGCGCGCGCACACACACACAAACACACUUAUCUAUUCGGUGCGUUAUGAAGCCAUCAAAUUCUCUUAGCAAAAUGACAAACUAUUUUGUUUGGCAAAAUGAGAGGUGUGAUUGUUGGUAUCUCCUAAAGCUGGCUAACUUUUCCUGUACUGUUGUGCCUUUGCUUACAAAUAUUUUUUGGUAGAUAUUUGGAUGGAUCUAAUCAAUUGAGGUUGUUGUGCUUUUGUCU